rnacentral:rRNA from 1 species
AGCGAAUGCUAGCGGCAGGCCUAACACAUGCAAGUCGAACGAACUCUUCGGAGUUAGUGGCGGACGGGUGAGUAACACGUGGGAACGUGCCUUUAGGUUCGGAAUAACUCAGGGAAACUUGUGCUAAUACCGAAUGUGCCCUUCGGGGGAAAGAUUUAUCGCCUUUAGAGCGGCCCGCGUCUGAUUAGCUAGUUGGUGAGGUAAAGGCUCACCAAGGCGACGAUCAGUAGCUGGUCUGAGAGGAUGAUCAGCCACAUUGGGACUGAGACACGGCCCAAACUCCUACGGGAGGCAGCAGUGGGGAAUCUUGCGCAAUGGGCGAAAGCCUGACGCAGCCAUGCCGCGUGAAUGAUGAAGGUCUUAGGAUUGUAAAAUUCUUUCACCGGGGACGAUAAUGACGGUACCCGGAGAAGAAGCCCCGGCUAACUUCGUGCCAGCCGCCGCGGUAA